AGCUUAUUAAGAGAAGUUGAGGGAUUUGGCCCUGUGAUGCUUCAGCAACCACUUAGUGAUAAGUACGGUGCUAAAACCAACGAAUGUUUCGAGUGAUAAGUC
rfam:Staphylococcus hyicus strain ATCC 11249, complete genome.